ACAUAGAUCUCUAUAAUACUAAUAUAAUACAUCUUCCAAAGUUGAAAAUCUGCAAAAUAUACUUACGAAUGCUGCAGAAAUGACCAUAAAGCAACAGCUAGAGUCACAGUUUCUAACUAUAGAAAACCUAACCUCGCACCUCAUUAACUGUGGAGGGGAGCAGGGAGUUACUAGCAACUGUGUAUAGCAUAGGUAGGACGAAUGUACGUUUAAGCUGCAAGCCACAACACACCAAGACAUAACACACAUUCCACCCACUGUACCGCUGACAGAGUGGCAUUAAGAAGGGCUAUUUAAUGGAGUAUUUUCUCCUAUACAGCAUGUUGUUCAACUCCUUUCUUGUCAACUGAAAGCCAUCCACAAGCUAAAACAGCAGCCCCAGGCCACGGAGAGAGAGAUUGAGAGAGAGAGAUGUGCUUUCAGCACUUUGACUGGACAGAACUUCAAAUUUCUGCACACUUCUGCAACCUCACCAUUGCCCCAGAGCAGGUUUAGUUGGUUUUGCAGAACCUGGGAGUCAAUGUCACUUAUGCUUCUGUUCAGUGCAAGUCUUAAAUCAUCAGAUAUAUCUUGACAAGAGCUAAGAAACCAGCUUAUCAAUUUAGAAGAACCUGAGGCAAGUGACUGAAAAAGUUGUGCUGAAUCUCUAAAGCAGUACUUGGUUGAGAAUUUGGGUAGCGUUUGCCUGUCACUGUUCUUUUUUUACUUCCAGUAAGAAGGGGCUGGCUCCUGUGGCACAUAAAAAUACACAGCCAAACUGGUGAUGAGUUCUGUGUCUCUGAAGUACAAAAUGAAAUCUGAGAUAUUAGUGAGAUCCUCCAUGUCCCGAAGAUAUCAGUUUUUUCAUCAAACCAGGCCAAGAGAGAAAAAUCAUGUCAGAGCACGGAGAAGUGUAGGAGAUGGGCUAUCAGAAGAUGACCAACAGCAUCACUGUAAGCAGACCAGCCUUCUAGGCUUCUGGGCUGGUGUUACUGUUGCUUAG
rnacentral:lncRNA from 1 species